CCUACGGGGGGCAGCAGUGAGGAAUAUUGGUCAAUGGACGAGAGUCUGAACCAGCCAAGUAGCGUGAAGGAUGACUGCCCUAUGGGUUGUAAACUUCUUUUAUAAAGGAAUAAAACGAGGCACGCGUGCCCGGAGGGAGAGUACCCGCAGAAUAAGCAUCGGCUAACUCCGUGCCAGCAGCCGCGGUAAUACGGAGGAUGCGAGCGUUAUCCGGUUUUAUUGGGUUUAAAGGGUGCGUAGGCGGAUUUUUAAGUCAGCGGUAAAAUGUCCGGGCUCAACCCGGGCCGGCCGUUGAAACUGGGGAUCUUGAGUGGGCGAGAAGUAUGCGGAAUGCGUGGUGUAGCGGUGAAAUGCAUAGAUAUCACGCAGAACUCCGAUUGCGAAGGCAGCAUACCGGCGCCCGACUGACGCUGAGGCACGAAAGCGUGGGGAUCGAACAGGAUUAGAUACCCGAGUAGUC
rnacentral:rRNA from 1 species